GCCAUUACUCUUUUUUACAAUGUGAGGCGUGGAUCCAGGUAAGCCUCCCGUCGAGUUUCACAGAGGUCGGGGUAGUCAGCAACACCUGGUAAGGCCCCUUGUAUCGUGGUUCGAGGGUGUUUCUGAUGUGUUUCUUGACCACCACCCACUCUCCAGGUUUGAGAGUGUGGAUUCCCUCUAGGGAGUCAGGAUCUGGAAUGGAAGAGAAAACUUGUGCACGUAUGUUAGACAAUUGUUUACUCAGGGCAAUCACAUAUUUUGCAACAAAUUCAUAAUGUAUUUGCAAUUGCUGUGGGAAGUACUGUCCCAUCCUAGGCCCUGUCCCAAACAAAAUUUCAUAUGGAGUCAGUUUGUGUGGAGGCCUAGGGGUGUGUCUAACUGAAAAUAGUGCUAUUGGCAGGCAUUGUACCCAACUGAGCCCUGUCUCCCUAGUCAUUUUCAGCAUCUUGGACUUCAGUACCCUGUUUAGUCGUUUGACUUUAUCGCUGCUUUGGGGUCUGUAGGGUGUGUGAUAGGCUAAGUGUGACCCUACCAUAUUCCAGACUUCUUGGGUUAAUCUAGCAGUGAAUGCUGGGCCCUGAUCACUCUCAAUGACCUCAGGUACUCCGAACCUACAAACAAGCUCCUGCACCCGUUUUUUUGCAUUAGUGGUUG